AGGAAAUUUGGGCUACGUAUUUGUGAUCAGCGUCUCGAGCUCUUUCACGUGAUAUGAGUCUCAAUCCGAAGUUCCACGGGAAGCUGACGGCGUUCCCUGGUUAUUGUUAAGCACGGCCACCCGGUGGCCGUGCGAUCUCGCCCAAAAGUUUCAGGCGGGAAGUUUGACUGCAGCGGUACAUCUGUCAAACUGUACCGCAGGUGUCCUAAGGCUAGCUCAGAGAGGACGUAAACCUCUCGUAGAGCAAAAAGGGUAAAAGCUCGCUUGGUCUUGACUUUCAGUACGAGUACGACCGCGAAAUCGUGGCCUAUCGAUCCUUUUAGUCCAGAUGGUUUCUGGUAAGAGGUAUCAAAAAAGUUACCACAGGGAUAACUGGCUUGUGGUAGUCCAACGUCCAUAGCGACAUUGAAUUUUGAUCCUUCGAUGUCGGCUCUUUCCAUCAUUGCGAAGCAGAAUUCGCCAAACUUGAGAUUGUUCACCCACUGGUAGGGAACGUGAGCUGGGUUUAGACAGUCGUGAGACAGGUUAGUUUCACCCUACUGUCGACUAAUUGAUGCGAUAGUAAUCCUGUUUACGAGGGAGGUCAGUGAAAUCGGUUCGGAGAUUCGGAGCGGGUUUGACAUCACCCCACACGACAAAACUAGCUUCUUUACAUCUGACAACAGGUUGGAAUCGGGGUUAGGAAGCGAAGAAGGUAUCCUACCGAAGUACUCUUUGUUAGCAAAAAAGGGAGCACUCUACAGAAUAAAUCGCAUAGACACCCCCGGAAUCGAAUCCUCGACCUUCUUCCGUAAGUCCGCCGCGCUAUCCACUCGGUCAUCCAGUCGCUGCCACCAACGUUGCAAAUGAAUCACUUGAAUGUGCACUGCAGCUUCGUCUAAGAAACAGGAAAUUAUCGUAUACCUAUAAUCUAACUUUAAUUUGAGCCCAAAACCUUUUGUAGGUCAAGUUCUGAGCACGACAGGACCAUACCAUGCGUUAUCAGCCCGCCCUGAAGUAAUACCAUUUUUUCCAUUUUUGGACCACCCAGGGAUUUAUCAAGUACGAAACACAGCUCUGUGAUCCUCGUCCGAUGCCCCACAAGACCGUAUAGGUCUCGUGGGAAUCUCCGGACCGAGUUCACUGACUCCCCUCGUUAGUACGAGAGGAGCAGCAGGUUCAGACAUUUGGUUCAUGGACUUGGCCGUUCGCUCAAUGGUCCGAAGCUACCAUCUGGGGGAUUAUGACUGAACGCCUCCAAGUCAGAAUUCCACCUAGUCAAGGCAGCGAUAACUUUGUUUCCCGGCAUCGAGAGGCAACUCUAUCUCGUGGCAACACGAGAGCAUAUGCCCUAGUAAAUGACCUUGCCGGUAUGGAUAAUCUUUGGUGGUUGUCAAACCAAGAUCGCUCUGGUUCAAUGUCGGGGUGCAAAAUCACAUGUUUACGACAUGUAUGCUGGUCACGGUUUUGUGUCCAGUAGAGCAGUGUUUGCAUACUGCGAUCUGUUGAGACUGUCCUCUGAUCGGGUGUUUU
rnacentral:ncRNA from 1 species